GCUUGCUUCAUGCCCACAUUUGAAACCAAACGGAAAAAACAGACUUCAGUUUCAAGGGACCACAUGAAACUUCAAGAGGAACUGAAGUCUGCUGCAACUGCUGCAAUCUUUUCACUGCAUUUGAUCGGCCGGAUUAAACUGAAGGACACUGAAUAAUACGGGAAGCUCGCAGGUCUUGGAACGUCAUCCCAAAUGUGAAGUAGUAGGUGGAAGCAUCAUGUUGUGUGUUUUAUUGAAGAAUAGACUGGUUUCAGCUUUAUAAAUAAAACCUCUCUCUGUAAUGUGCAUGGAGUAGGCAAUUUAUUUAUUUUCUGUUCUUUCUUGUUACAGUCUGCUAAGGGUUAGCAUUAAAACUUGCAUUUUUAUGCCAUUUCCAAUCCACACACAGGUAGAAAAGGCAACAUGUGUUCAUUAUUUUAGCUUAGUUUUACUCCUUUUGACAAUAACACAACUAUGCAGCUUUCAAAGUACUUCAACCAGUUUGGGUUUUUUUUGAGACACGCUAAACAAAAAUCCCACAUGCAUGCAUUAUUUUGGCUCCCUUAUUGAAGUUCAAGUGUGUAUAAGUCAUGCUAAAGACCUCAAAGCAAGAACUUCAACCAAUUUCAAUGUGUGAAAUUGCUGGGGGUUUCUUCUUUUCCAGUUUGUUCAGAUAUGUGAUGUUAAUCUAUUUGUUUCUCAUCUUCCAAAUAUCUCUCCCGAGUUGGCUUCUUCUCCCCCCCCCCGUAACCUCCCCACUCCCUCGGUCUCUCCUGCUCUGAUAGCUGUGCAUGAGAUGACUCAAAGGACACAGCAAAGCACCAGAGUUCGCACCAGAGUUCGCACCAGCAACGCGGCACUCAGUUGAAACAGAUUUGAUUUCUAUUCCUCUAUGUUCGGGUGACAUCGCUGCUCCUCCGAGACGUUUGCGCUGGGAUUGGAACGGGGAUCAAGUCACCUGUCACAGCAAAGAAGGCCAGGCUGCAGAGAACCUGAGCAUGUAUGCCUGGAUGUGACUGUAGACUUGCUUUUAUCUUUUGUUUAUGGUUUUCUUUGUUCAGGAUGGUGUUUGUGUUUGGUGCUGCUACAAUUUGGCUUUUCGAUAUAUAUAUAUUUUUUUGUUUUUCUCUUUGUGUUGUCUUAGCCGCAAAGCACCUUGUAAGACAUAUACAGUGCCUUG